rnacentral:rRNA from 1 species
UACGUAGGGCGCAAGCGUUUGUCCGGAAUUAUUGGGCGUAAAGAGCUCGUAGGCGGUCUGUCACGUCUGCCGUGAAAACCCGAGGCUUAACCUCGUGGCUUGCGGUGGAUACGGGCAGACUAGAGGUAGGUAGGGGGAGAACGGAAUUCCCGGUGUAGCGGUGAAAUGCGCAGAUAUCGGGAGGAACACCGGUGGCGAAGGCGGUUCUCUGGGCCUGUACUGACGCUGAGGAGCGAAAGCGUGGGGAGCGAACAGG